AGAGUUUGAUCCUGGCUCAGGACGAACGCUGGCGGCGUGCUUAACACAUGCAAGUCGAGCGGAAAGGCCUUUCGGGGUACUCGAGCGGCGAACGGGUGAGUAACACGUGAGUAACCUGCCCCUGGCUUUGGGAUAACCAUCGGAAACGGUGGCUAAUACCGAAUAUUCACUUCUUCCCGCAUGGGUUGUUGUGGAAAGUUUUUCGGCUGGGGAUGGGCUCGCGGCCUAUCAGCUUGUUGGUGGGGUGAUGGCCUACCAAGGCUUUGACGGGUAGCCGGCCUGAGAGGGCGACCGGCCACACUGGGACUGAGACACGGCCCAGACUCCUACGGGAGGCAGCAGUGGGAAUAUUGCACAAUGGGCGGAAGCCUGAUGCAGCGACGCCGCGUGAGGGAUGACGGCCUUCGGGUUGUAAACCUCUUUCAGCAGGGACGAAGCGAAAGUGACGGUACCUGCAGAAGAAGCGCCGGCCAACUACGUGCCAGCAGCCGCGGUAAGACGUAGGGCGCGAGCGUUGUCCGGAUUUAUUGGGCGUAAAGAGCUCGUAGGCGGCUUGUUGCGUCGUCCGUGAAAACCUGGGGCUCAACUCCAGGCUUGCGGUCGAUACGGGCAGGCUAGAGUUCGGUAGGGGAGACUGGAAUUCCUGGUGUAGCGGUGAAAUGCGCAGAUAUCAGGAGGAACACCGGUGGCGAAGGCGGGUCUCUGGGCCGAUACUGACGCUGAGGAGCGAAAGCGUGGGGAGCGAACAGGAUUAGAUACCCUGGUAGUCCACGCUGUAAACGUUGGGCGCUAGGUGUGGGGGGCCUCUCCGGUUUCCUGCGCCGUAGCUAACGCAUUAAGCGCCCCGCCUGGGGAGUACGGCCGUAAGGCUAAAACUCAAAGGAAUUGACGG
rnacentral:rRNA from 1 species